AUACUACUCCCUCCGUCCCAAAAUAAGUGACUCAAAACUUACUCAACUUUGUACUAACAUUAGUACAAAGUUGAGUCAUUUCUUACUCAACUUUGUACUAACAUUAGUACAAAGUUGAGUCAUUUUUGAGUCACUUAUUUUGGGACGGAGGGAGUAGUAU
rfam:Triticum aestivum genome assembly, contig: Triticum_aestivum_CS42_TGACv1_scaffold_224800_3B